rnacentral:rRNA from 1 species
GACGAACGCUGGCGGCGUGCUUAACACAUGCAAGUCGAACGAUGACGACCGAGCUUGCUCGGUCUGAUUAGUGGCGAACGGGUGAGCAACACGUGAGCAACCUGCCCUUCACUCUGGGAUAACCUCGGGAAAUCGGGGCUAAUACCGGAUAUGAGCUCCUGUCGCAUGGCGGGUGUUGGAAAGUUUUUCGGUGAAGGAUGGGCUCGCGGCCUAUCAGUUUGUUGGUGAGGUAGUGGCUCACCAAGGCGAUGACGGGUAGCCGGCCUGAGAGGGCGACCGGCCACACUGGGACUGAGACACGGCCCAGACUCCUACGAGAGGCAGCAGUGGGGAAUAUUGCACAAUGGGCGAAAGCCUGAUGCAGCGACGCCGCGUGAGGGAUGACGGCCUUCGGGUUGUAAACCUCUUUCAGCAGGGAAGAAGCGAAAGUGACGGUACCUGCAGAAGAAGCGCCGGCUAACUACGUG